rnacentral:pre_miRNA from 1 species
AUCGUACUCCCUCCGUCCGAAAAUACUUGUCAUCAAAAUGGACAAAAAGGGAUGUAUCUAGAACUAAAAUACAUCUAGAUACAUCCCCUUUUAUUUAUUUUGAUGACAAGUAUUUCCGGACGGAAGGAGUAGUAG